rnacentral:rRNA from 1 species
GCUCCAAUAGCGUAUAUUAAAGUUGUUGCGGUUAAAAAGCUCGUAGUUGGAUUUCUGCUGAGGACGACCGACCGACCAAACGGGUUUGCGUCUGGUUAGACCGAGGCAUCCUCUUGGAAGACGUGUUCCACUUUACUGUGGUCACGGAGUCCAGGACUUUUUACUUUGAGGAAAUUAGAGUGUUUCAAACAGCGUUCGCC